rnacentral:rRNA from 1 species
CUGACGGAGCAACGCCGCGUGAACGAUGAAGGUCUUCGGAUCGUAAAGUUCUGUUGUUAGGGAAGAACAAGUACCGUGCGAAUAGAGCGGUACCUUGACGGUACCUAACGAGGAAGCCCCGGCUAACUACGUGCCAGCAGCCGCGGUAAUACGUAGGGGGCAAGCGUUGUCCGGAAUUAUUGGGCGUAAAGCGCGCGCAGGCGGUUCCUUAAGUCUGAUGUGAAAGCCCACGGCUCAACCGUGGAGGGUCAUUGGAAACUGGGGAACUUGAGGACAGAAGAGGAGAGUGGAAUUCCACGUGUAGCGGUGAAAUGCGUAGAUAUGUGGAGGAACACCAGUGGCGAAGGCGACUCUCUGGUCUGUUUCUGACGCUGAGGUGCGAAAGCGUGGGUAGCAAACAGGAUUAGAUACCCUGGUAGUCCACGCCGUAAACGAUGAGUGCUAGGUGUUAGGGGGCUUCCACCCCUUAGUGCUGAAGUUAACGCAUUAAGCACUCCGCCUGGGGAGUACGACCGCAAGGUUG